GUGUCUUGCUAUAUCAAUACACAAGUGCAGAGAAGCAUCCAGCAUGGCUGAUGAGUCUGACUUUAACCUCAAAAUUAGCAUAGAAGAUCCCCUGCCCGUUCUCCAAAGUUGACUCCGAGUUUACUUUUGCAGAAGAUUCUCUGAGAGA